CAGCGAGCCAAUAGGAAUGGGACGAGCAGGCAGGGAGCCUCUGAUAGGCCGCUGAAGAACUGAGCCAGGAAGACAUCCACCCCGAACCGCCCGACAUUCAUACAGAUACCGUAGCUGAAGCUGCAGAUAUUGAUACAGCAGCAGGAGACCCCGGCCAAACAGCGCAGGUGCUUGAGGCGUCACUACAGACCCAGCUUCGAUCCCAGGCCGUGUCACAGCCGGACGUGACCGUGAGACCCAUAAGGUGGUGCACAAUUGGCGCAGAGUCGUUUGACCUGCCGGCAUUUCCUUGUCCCAUCAUGCUCUAGCGACUCCUUGUGGCGGUCUGGACACCUUCAAGCUGACUCCGGUCGCCAGCUGGACGGUGUUUCUUCCGGCUGGCUUCCCGGGUAUCAACCAUCCAGUUUCCCAUCAGCCAUAGAGGUUAGUUUUGUGGACGUCGGUCACCAGCGUGACUGCAGCCAAAAGGGGUGUGGCAUAGACCCUCACCAAGCUCUGUAACCCGGCAACCAAACAUCACCAGCCGAACCUCAGAGCAUUCCCCAAGUUCAACAGGACCAAUGGAGCGCACACAAGAAAACGAUUUAAGCAACAGGGAUCCUGAUCCCAUCCUUAAUCCCUACCACCCCUCCUUAACCACUACCACCCCACCUUAACCCCUACCACCCCUCCUUAAUCCCUACCACCCCUCGUUAACCAGUCCCAUUCCUCCUUAACCCCUACCUACCAACCAACCUUAACCCCUACUACCCCUCUGUAUACCCUACCACCCCUCCUUAACCCCUAC